rnacentral:lncRNA from 1 species
GACUGUGUGAAGACUGCCUCUGGAGGAUCGGAGGACUGUCAGACUACAGGGUUGAUUGUGAUUUGUGGUUUAAAAGGAGUGGUUAAUCAUUUGGUCAUUUGUACAUAUAUUUUUGCAUAUGAAGCAUUUUGUUCCAUGAUUUGCUUAAAUGAAAAUUGCUGAAUAAGCUAAAAGCUGAUGCCAAAUAAAUCACAACAUUUACAUAUGAAUCAUUUUGCAGACGCUCUUAUCCAGAGCGAUUUAGAGGAGCAAUUAGGGUUAAGUGCCUUGCUCGAGGGCACAUCGACAGAUUUUUUUCACCUAGUUAACGCAAAGAUUCAAACCAGUGACCUUUCGGUUUCUGGCUCAGUGCUCUAAUCGCUAGGCUAGCUGCCACAUUACUACAUUCUGUCAGAUCUUUCACUUCCCUUAUUGUGAUUUUGUUUUCUGAUGCUUUAAUUUUGACCAGAUAAUUUUGUUUUUCUAUGACAAAAACAUUCUAGAGGUGUUGUGAUACUACUUGAAACUGUGAUACCUGAGCUGGUACCAUGACAACAGUACAACCAAUCAUCCUUCUACUCUAAGCCAAUAAUAAGUGUUCUGAAACUUGUAAAUUGCAAGUUAGAGACGCCCCCCCCCCCCCCCCACCCAAAUGAAGGAAGUGUGAAUCACAAGGCUGGUCUCGGAACAAUACAGUAAAAGACCUGUCAACUCCAGUUGCCUUUUUUUGGUUGGUGACUAGGAUGUGUGCGAACAGCUGCACAGCCUCAGUGAGUACUUGACUGAAGAUGAAGAUUCUCUUUCUCUUGAUUCUUCUGUUAGAUGUCCCUGAGAUGGAAGCACAACAGAGGAUGGUGGUGAAUGGACAAGUGUUGCUGAGAUUUGUCUUUCCUCCUUUCUACAAUGGUUAUGAGAAGUUCUGUUCUAAACUAUAUCCUUGGGGAGUUUCUGUUAUUGUGAAUACCAGGGGAUAUGUCAACGACUUCUACGAGGGAAGAGUAUCCACAACCGAAUACAACGGUGGAAUGGACGUUGUGAUAUGGAAUUUAAAGCCAGUGGACACUGGCAACUACAGGUGUGCUAUUGUCACCAUUGGAUGGAAUCAUAUCUACAAAGACUAUAACCUCCAGAUUGAUAGUGGUCGACGUAGCGGUCCAGUAUCCCCUCGACCUCCGGUCAGGUCAACCAUCAGCCCCUUCAUCUUCUCUUCCUCAUCAGACACCUCUGGGCCUGUUUUCACCAAGGACCACAGUGACAGCCCCAGUGUUCCCUGGAGCUUUGGUUUACCACUAGCUGCAGGUCUUUGCAUCGCUAUGGUGAUUGUGAUCAGCUCAGUAGUCCUUGUUGUGGUUCAUCACAAAAUCAUCACGAAAAAGAAAUGUGGAGCAACUUCCAGUGACUCAGCUGCACACAUCCUCUCAGAUGUCCUUCAGGAGGAGAACAGUAUUGUCUACACCACAGUGGACUUCAAGCCUCAUGAGAACCAUACCACUGAGCUGUAUGCUAACCUACAGACACUCCGCAGCCCCAGAAGCACCGACUCACACAGAGAGCCUGCUGGAACAGUGGUGUACUCCACACUGGCUAGCAACCAACGCUGA